CUAGGGCAUACCAAGUGUACAAGUGCAAUGGUGGGAAUUGUCCGAAUAAAACGAGUUUUAAGUCGUGUAAACCCAUUCAUAUAGAGUGUGCUCAACAAAUCGGCGGAACUGAGUGUGGCUAUUACGUUAUGAAGUUCAUGUUAGAGAUAGUCACGUUACAACAUGACUAUGAAGGCCGGCUAGAUGAGGUCUAUACUCCGAGGACUGCGCCUUAUGCUAGUGAGGAAAUUGAUGUGGUUCGUGAGCAAUGGGCGAAGUUUUUUACCACCAAGUAUUUAUUAUUGACCUGAGGGCGCUUGAUCGUGUUGGUUUAGAUGUUAUAGAACAAUCUUUUAUGUUAAAAUGUAUGCGUACGUUGAAAUUGGAACGUAAAUAUAUUUAAAUGUAUCGGUAUGUGCACUUUUGGUUUUGGGAUAUAUACAAAACUCCAGUUGUUGUUUUUAUAUUUGUUAUACAGG